rnacentral:rRNA from 1 species
UACAGAGGGGGCAAGCGUUAUUCGGAAUUAUUGGGCGUAAAGAGCUUGUAGGCGGUUUGUCGCGUCUGCUGUGAAAAUCCGGGGCUCAACCCCGGACUUGCAGUGGGUACGGGCAGACUAGAGUGUGGUAGGGGAGACUGGAAUUCCUGGUGUAGCGGUGAAAUGCGCAGAUAUCAGGAGGAACACCGAUGGCGAAGGCAGGUCUCUGGGCCACUACUGACGCUGAGAAGCGAAAGCAUGGGGAGCGAACAGG